AGAAGAAGACAAAUUGGUGCAGCUCACCUUUUACCGACCUUGUGGCCGGCCCAGCAAAGAGCCAAACACGAAUCUACCAUUCACUCGAAAACAGAGUAGGAUUCAACCAAACCAAUGAAUGAAUGUCUUGGAAAGAAACGCUCAUCCUUGUACUAGUAUAAGAACACUGAUAUAGGUAGGUGUACAAGAAAGAGGAGGUGAAGAAAUAGAUCAAACAGCAUGACGACCAGUGACAUGUUCACGCAUGUAGGAUCUGUAAUCGCCAGUUUCAUGUUCGUGUGGGCAAUUUUUCGGCAAUACUUCCCUCCUGAACUUCGAAACUCUCUUGAGAAAUACUCUCAAAGAUUGUUCACUUUCUUUUACCCUUAUAUCCAAAUCAAAUUCAAUGAAAACACCGGAGAGCGUUUCAUGCGCAGUGAAGCUUAUUUAGCCAUUGAGAACUACCUUAGCUCCAAUACAUCUAUGCAAGCAAAGCGGCUCAAGGCUGAUGUCGUCAAGAACAGCACGUCUCUAGCUUUGAGCAUGGACGACCACGAGGAGGUAGCUGAUGAGUUCCAAGGAGUCAAAUUUUGGUGGGCUUCUGGUAAACAUAUCACCAAAUCUCAUCCCUCCAUUUCUUACUACCCAGUUAAUGAUGAAAAGCGCCACUACAAGCUCACUUUCCACAAAAAGCACCGCAAUUUCGUCCUCACCACAUACCUCAAUCAUGUACUCACAGAGGGUAAGGAAAUUAAGGUCAGAAACCGGCAAAGGAAGCUUUACACCAACUAUGGAUCUUAUUGGAGUCAUGUGGUUUUUGAGCAUCCCGCAACAUUUGAGACACUAGCCAUGGAGCCAGAUAAGAAAAAAGAUAUUAUAGAUGACUUGAUCACUUUCAGUAAGACAGAAGAGUUCUACAAGCGAAUUGGGAGGGCUUGGAAGCGUGGGUAUCUUCUUUAUGGUCCUCCAGGUACUGGCAAGUCCACUUUGAUUGCUGCCAUGGCAAAUCUUUUGGGUUAUGAUCUGUACGAUCUUGAAUUAACAGCUGUGAAAGAUAACAUUGAGCUUAGGAGACUCUUGAUAGAGACAUCAAGCAAGUCAAUCAUUGUGAUUGAGGACAUUGAUUGUUCAGCGGAUCUUACCGGACAACGAAAGAAGAAGAAAAAGGAGAAAGAGGAAGACGAAGAUGAAGAGAAAGAUCCAGGGAAGAAGCUAGCUAAAGAAGAGAAAGAUACCAAAACCAGUAACGUUACUCUUUCUGGUCUUCUAAAUUUUAUUGAUGGGCUUUGGUCCGCUUGUGGGGGAGAAAGACUCAUUGUCUUUACAACCAAUUAUGUUGAAAAAUUGGAUCCAGCACUUAUUAGGAGAGGACGAAUGGAUAAGCACAUUGAAUUGUCAUAUUGUAGCUUUGAAGCUUUCAAGAUGCUUGCAAAAAAUUAUCUUAAUGUCGAAUCACACGAUUUGUUUGUGCAAAUUCAUGUGUUGUUGGAGAAAAUCAAUAUGACGCCUGCAGAUGUUGCGGAAAAUUUAAUGCCCAAGACUAUUCCGGGGGAUGCUACAACUUGUUUGGAGAUUCUGAUCAGAGCUCUUCACAAGGCAAAAGAAGAAGCAAGGCUCAAGGCUGAGGAAGAAUCAGAAAAGAAAAAAUCAUCGUCAGCAAAAGAAGUGAAAGAGGGAGAGAAGGAAACAUCAGCUGAAGAAGAAGGCAGAACAAAGAAACCAUCAACUAUAGAAGCGAAAGAGGACAAGUCAUCAGCUAAAGCAGACACCACAACAGAUGACUCUCCUAGUUGAACGAAGGUGAAACGAGUGCUGAGGGUUGUAUCAUCUAAGAUUACAAGAUUGAGGACUUGACAACAACAGGUAUUGCCUAACGAAUGAAUGAUAAUUUUGCUACAUGUCUGGGGACAUAAAACGUCAGAAUACUCAGCGGCAAACUUAAUUUAAUUCGGAUGUCUUCCACAGCUUGUUUUUCCUAAGCUAACUUAGCAGGCACAAGUAUAAACUUGAAUUUGUGGUAGCAAUAAGAAACAAAAAAUCAAAAGAAUAUUUUUUCUACACCUUGUUUUCCUUA